CCUGAUGCAGCCAUGCCGCGUGUGUGAAGAAGGCCCUAGGGUUGUAAAGCACUUUCAGUCGUGAGGAAAGGUGUGUAAUUAAUACUUACAUACUGUGACGUUAGCGACAGAAGAAGGACCGGCUAACUCCGUGCCAGCAGCCGCGGUAAUACGGAGGGUCCGAGCGUUAAUCGGAAUUACUGGGCGUAAAGCGCGCGUAGGUGGAUUGGUCAGUCAGAUGUGAAAGCCCAGGGCUCAACCUUGGAACUGCACCUGAUACUGCCAGUCUAGAAUACGGUAGAGGGUAGUGGAAUUUCCUGUGUAGCGGUGAAAUGCGUAGAUAUAGGAAGGAACACCAGUGGCGAAGGCGACUACCUGGACCGAUAUUGACACUGAGGUGCGAAAGCGUGGGGAGCAAACAGGAUUAGAUACCCUGGUAGUCCACGCCGUAAACGAUGUCUACUAGCCGUUGGAAGACUUGAUCUUUUAGUGGCGAAGCUAACGCGAUAAGUAGACCGCCUGGGGAGUACGGCCGCAAGGUUAAAACUCAAAUGAAUUGACGGGGGCCCGCACAAGCGGUGGAGCAUGUGGUUUAAUUCGACGCAACGCGAAGAACCUUACCAACUCUUGACAUCCAGAGAAGUUACUAGAGAUAGUUUCGUGCCUUCGGGAACUCUGAGACAGGUGCUGCAUGGCUGUCGUCAGCUCGUGUUGUGAAAUGUUGGGUUAAGUCCCGUAACGAGCGCAACCCUUGUCCUUAUUUGCCAGCACGUAAUGGUGGGAACUCUAAGGAGACUGCCGGUGACAAACCGGAGGAAGGUGGGGACGACGUCAAGUCAUCAUGGCCCUUACGAGUUGGGCUACACACGUGCUACAAUGGCCGGUACAGAGGGCUGCGAACCUGCGAAGGUAAGCUAAUCUCACAAAACCGGUCGUAGUCCGGAUUGGAGUCUGCAACUCGACUCCAUGAAGUCGGAAUCGCUAGUAAUCGUGGAUCAGAAUGCCACGGUGAAUACGUUCCCGGGCCUUGUACACACCGCCCGUCACACCAUGGGAGUGGAUUGCACCAGAAGUAGCUAGCUUAACCUUCGGGAGGGCGGUUACCACGGUGUGGUUCAUGACUGGGGUGAAGUCGUAACAAGGUAGCCCUAGGGGAACCUGGGGCUGGAUCACCUCCUUA
rnacentral:rRNA from 1 species